CCUACGGGUGGCAGCAGUGGGGAAUAUUGCACAAUGGGGGAAACCCUGAUGCAGCGACACCGCGUGAGUGAAGAAGGAUUUCGGGACGGAAAGCUCUAUCAGCAGGGAAGAAAAUGACGGUACGUGAGUAAGAAGGCCCGGCGAACGACGUGCAAGCAGCCGCGGUAAUCCGUAGGGGGCAAGCGUUAUCCGGAUUUACUGGGUGGAAAGGGAGCGUAGACGGCAGGGCAAGGCUGCAGUGAAAUCCCAGGGCUUAACCAUGGAACUGCUUUGGAAACUGUGCAGCUGGAGUGCAGGAGAGGUAAGCGGAUUUCCUAUUCUAGCGGUGACAUGCUUAGAUAUUAGG
rnacentral:rRNA from 1 species